AGCUGACGUAUGCAGAUAUAAUAUUCUUCUCAUGCAUGGAAUUGUUUGAAACCCUCAACAAAGGUUCUUCGCCAAUAUUGGAUAACUAUCCUGCACUAAAAGAUCUUAAUAACACAGUUUCAAGCAACCCUGGGAUAAAGAAAUGGUUGAGCGAACGGCCAGAUCAAUGAAUGAGAUGUGUGAUAAUUAAUUAAAUAAUUUUACAAAAAUUUUGUAAUCAUAUUAAUGCUGCAUCGUAUUAAACAUUUUCACUAAUAAUUAGUUGCUGGGGCACCUGUGCCAGCAACUAUAGGUUUCGGGUGAAAUUGGUCUCCUUCUCCUUCUCCAUGGAUAGUCGCAAAAUGGAAAUUCCCACUGAUCUAUAUACGAAGCAAUGCGUGCAUACAUUUUCGCUAUUUUAACGGUCUUAAAGUCUUCGUAAGUGUAUAAAGUGAACGUCAAAUUGUUCUUUCAAUCACGCUUUUUCUUCUGGGGGCUUUUUGAAAGAAAUCCAUCAAGAAUAUACAGAAUUAUGUCGACGUUUCACUAUCGAGGAGUGGAGUAGAUUCCGAGGUGGAUUAAUUAACUGACAAGAACUGUGUUAUUUAUUCGUCGAACCAUUACAGUCUGAACGUUUAUAUUUUUGUUUUGUGAAGUUUUACAUCUAUAUACGCUUUAAUAUGGCUUAUAGUCCUGGUUGCUCCAAUAGUCUGCAUAAAAAUCGUAUUUGUUUACAUGUAUUGGAACUGUCAUAUUUGCAUGCUACAGUGUAGCUCUAUUUUCAAGAAGGCUCAAAUGUUGGCUGUUUUGAAGUGACACACGAGGUAUGUGACACACAAUCUUGGAUUGGUAUUUCUUAGAUAGAUAGAUAUUUUUAAUUGAUAAUUAAACCUUGCAGCCAUUGGCUGUAUUAUGUUAACAUUACAUAAGGUCCACUUAUUCAGAAUAAGAAUAUUAUUCUGGUUAUAGGACUGAACUAUUAGCUUAAAAACUCCCAUGUUCGUGUUUGCGAUGUUACUCUGAGUGCAUAUCCACACCGGGCGAGCUUGAAAAAUAUGCCCGGCGACGGUGGGAUUAUUUGGUCGAACCGUCCUGACCGCGUAGCUCAGUUGGAAGAGCAUUGGGCUAGUAUUCCAAAGGUCGUAGGUUCGAAUCCCACCGUGGCCGGGCAUAUUUUUCAAGCUCGCCCGGUGUGGAUAUGCACUCAGAGUAACAUCGCAAACAUAUUAUUCACCUGAGUACACAACACCAACACAGAAAAAAAAAUUCAUAUUACAAGAACACAUUGGUAUUGAAGGAACUAGAUACUGUUCCGAAAUAUCACUUACUCGAACCGUCCUGACCGCGUAGCUCAGUUGGAAGAGCAUUGGGCUAGUAUUCCAAAGGUCGUAGGUUCGAAUCCCACCGUGGCCGGGCAUAUUUUUCAAGCUCGCCCGGUGUGGAUAUGCACUCAGAGUAACAUCGCAAACACAUUAUUCACCUGAGUACACAACACCAACACAGAAAAAAAUUCCCAUGUUCGUGUUGUAAACUGCAUCAUGUAUUCAUGAUUUUUACUUGCAACUCAUUUGCUUAUUUAAUAGAUUGCAAACAGGGGUCCCCUUGUUAAAAAUUUCAUGUCAACUUGGGAAGAUCCCAAGCAAUAUUUUUGCAGAUUGCAAAAUUUAUAAUCUAUCAGUAAUCUGUACCUUACUAUGAUCUAAACAUUUGAUGAUAUUUAUGUGGCUCUAACAUGUAAUAGCUUCAAUAUUUUGGAGUGUAUUAUUUGAUGUUAAUUAAGCCCUUUAGUUAAAAAUCACCAAUUGAAGAAUUGCUAGAACCAAAAGUGAAUGCUGGAACUACAGUAUCUAUAUUUACCAUGUUGCACCCUCAAUGCCUGGUUACCCCACGUCUUGUCACCCCCUCCCCUCUUUGAGGGCCCUCUUUGUUAGCGAUUCAGUUCUACACCACUGACUGCUAAUAUAAAGUUAUGUAAAAUUUUAAUGCCAAUAGCUCAGGGAAUGCAGUGCUGUGGGAAGCUCUUUUUGAUUGGGGAACUGAAAGCAAUGGCCAAAGGCCCGAGGAAAUUUUUAAAUUUAGAGUGUCUGAAAUGCCAUUUCCUGAACUUUGGGAAAGAUUUGACAGAAUUCUGAUGGUCAGAAAACAGCAUUUUAGUAUGUCGAAAUUUACAAUUUUAAACAGCCCCCCCCCCCUGAUUGCUACGGCCCUGGGGAGAAAUAUAACCACUGUCUAUCGCAUGCAUCAGUUAGGUGCAAAAAGCUAAAUUCCGCACCAAUAGUCAAUAUAUGCGAUUGUCCAUAUCAUAUAACCCUUUAAGUGGCAAUGUACCCUCAUGUGACCUACUUUAUUAUUUUACUGUGUCUAAUGCCAAGGAUUUUACUCAUCAGGGAGAGAGUGCUGUCACUCAAUGGGUUAAUUCACAAACGACUCCUUAGUCCUUAACUGUCUGAUAAAUAAUUUUUGUGUUUUAAAAUUUGUUAUAAACAAGUUAAAAUAAAAAUAUACAAAUCUGUAUUUAUCCUCAAAUAUGAAUAAGGGGUUAUUAUAGCCCAAGUAUGAACACUUGUGCCACAGUGCCAGCACAAAAUGGGCUAUUCCAGCUUUCAAUUCUGCUGGAAUGAGGUGAUAAAUUUUUAGCUUUGGAAUUCCUCAGGGAUAAGCAAAUAUUUUCUGUGUGGAAUUCUUUGGGGGUAAUCCGGUAAUGGAUAUUUUGAAUGAGAUUUUCUCAGGGGUCAAAUAUAAAAAUUGAAAUUCUUCCAGGGUCUCUCUUCAUGGGUAUUAACAGGAAUUCUUCAGUGGAUCUCUUUUAUGACCUGUAGGAAUUCUUCAGUUCAGCGAUAUGAUGAACUCUUGUGCAACGGACCUGAUUGUGAGAUUCCACUUCAUUGAAAGGACGACCUUAGGGACGGACCAUUAGAAAACCGAUGGGGGGG